AACUUUAGGCGGUGGAUCACUCGGCUCGUGCGUCGAUGAAGGAACGCAGCCAGCUGCGUGAAUUAAUGUGAAUUGCAGACACAUUGAACAUCGACAUUUUGAACGCAUAUUGCGGCCAUAGGUCCGUCCUGUGCC
rnacentral:rRNA from 1 species